GUCCACGCCGUAAACGAUGGAAGCUAGCCGUUGGUAAGUUUACUUAUCGGUGGCGCAGCUAACGCAUUAAGCUUCCCGCCUGGGGAGUACGGUCGCAAGAUUAAAACUCAAAGGAAUUGACGGGGCCCGCACAAGCGGUGGAGCAUGUUGUUUAAUUCGAUGGUAAGCGAAGAACCUUACCAAGGUUUGACAUCUCUGGAAUCUCUUCGAAAGAAGAUAGUGCCUUCGGGAACCAGAUGACAGGUGUUGCAUGGCCGUCGU
rnacentral:rRNA from 1 species